rnacentral:misc_RNA from 1 species
UCCGACUUAACGUCGACAGUCUCUUUAGAGUGCCCAACUAAAUGCUGGCAACUAAAGAUAAGGGUUGCGCUCGUUGCGGGACUUAACCCAACAUCUCACGACACGAGCUGACGACAGCCAUGCAGCACCUAUGUAGCGGCCCCGAAGGGCGUUAACAUCUCUGCUAACUUCCACUACACUUCGAACCCAGGUAAGGUUUUGCGCGUUGCAUCGAAUUAAACCACAUGCUCCACCGCUUGUGCGGGCCCCCGUCAAUUUCUUUGAGUUUUAACCUUGCGGCCGUACUCCCCAGGCGGGACACUUAACGCGUUAGCUUCGGCACUGAAGGGGUCAAUACCUCCAACACCAAGUGUCCAUCGUUUACAGCGUGGACUAC